UGGAUCAAGAUGGAGAAGCAGGGCACGUGCAUUACUAACUCGUGCACGAAUGACGAGUUUGUCCUUCAUGUGCCCCUCUUCCCCAUCAUGACCAC
rnacentral:pre_miRNA from 1 species